GCUUUUUGGUUUUGCCCUCAAACAAACCCUAGCCAUCUAACCUCCACUACCGGCGCAGGGAGCGAGGCACUACCGCCGUCCAUCGCGCUGUCGUCGUGCUCCAGGUCUCCAACCCCUGUUCAUUCUCACAGUCUCACCAAUUGCAGCUUCUUCGUUGAGAUAGACAUUCGCGUCUGGUUUUCGUCUUCUCAGCCGCACUUCUGCCGUCGUCAGUCAUCGUGUCCGUCGCCUGAUCGCCAUUGUCCGUCGCACUCAACAGAUCUUCCUCACACUCUGCCCAAACUGCUCACUCCUCAACGUCGCGCGCCUCCUCCACGUCACCGGAGCCCUUGGUCCUGAGAGUCUCGUAUUCGAUUGUCACGGCGGAGGGCCAUAUACCAACAUUGCCAAUGGCCGGAUUCUAAAGUGGGAAGGAGAUGAAGUUGGUUGGACUUAGUUUGCUGUCACCUGUUCCAAUAGUUGUUGCUGAAUGCUAAAACUGGAAAUCAAAUCAAAUGCUGGUUGUUGCUGAAUGAGUAGCUUAGCUGCCUGCCAAUGCCAUAUAUAAAUAAACUGAUGAAUGAUGAUGAUGAUGGUAGUGGAAGGAGAGUCAAAGUGUAUAGGUAGUUGGUGAUAUGUUAUGCUUUCUUAUUCAAUGACUAUUUGUUAAUUGUUAUGUUGAUACCUCAACUUGGAAACAACACUAGAUCUUGUUUAUGGCUUGCUCAUCAA